CAGUAGGAAAGUGAAGGUUGUUGCGUUACUUCAUUCUUGCCGAACAAAUGUUCCGUGGAAGGGUGGUGGGUGCAUUUAUCAUUUGUUUGGGCUUGUACCUUGUUGUGUGGGGAAAAAGCAAAGAUUACAACAGCCCAUCAAAAUCAAAUAUUGAAGAGCCUGUUUUACCGAAUUAGCAAUCUGCAACUGAAAAUUGUACCUACGAGAUCAUCACAAUUCAAUAAUUUUGGAAUUAUUAUAACUCUAUGAUCAACAAGAGGGUGGAGUUCAAAUUAUUGUUAUAUUGUAAUUGUAAUGUCAAUUUUCAAAUUCAAUAUUAUGGGACAUUUUCAGAGAGACUCUGCACCUUCUAUGUGUCAAUACUUUUGUAAAGAUAUUUUAAGAUUUCAAUGUGGCACAACAAAAUAGUGAAUUUUCAUU